rfam:Oryza barthii chromosome 3, whole genome shotgun sequence.
AAUAAGUACAGUUUUAUACUAUUCUUGUCUAACGUUCGAUCGUUCGUUUCUUAAAAUUUUUUUAUGAUUACUAUUUUUAUUGUUAUUAGAUGAUAAAACAUGAACAAUAAUUCAUGUGUGACUAUUUUUUUUAUUUUUUUUAAAAUUUUCAAAUAAAAUGGACGUUCAAACGUUGGACACGGAUUUUCAUGGCUGGGAUGAAG